rnacentral:tRNA from 1 species
GCUCCCGUCGUUCAAUGGACAGGACAUAAGAUUGCGGAUCUUAAAAUGAUGGUUCGAUUCCAUCCGGGAGCA